rnacentral:rRNA from 1 species
UACGUAGGGGGCUAGCGUUGUCCGGAUUUAUUGGGCGUAAAGAGCGUGUAGGCGGCCAUGUAGGUCCGGUGUGAAAACUCGAGGCUUAACCUCGAGAUGUCAUCGGAAACCAUUUGGCUAGAGUCCGGAAGAGGAGAGUGGAAUUCCUGGUGUAGCGGUGAAAUGCGUAGAUAUCGAGAGGAAUACCGAUGGCGAAGGCAGGUCUCUGGGCUGACACUGACGCUCAUGCACGAAAGCGUGGGGAGCAAACAGG